GAUGAACGCUGGCGGCGUGCCUAAUACAUGCAAGUCGAGCGAAUGGAUUAAGAGCUUGCUCUUAUGAAGUUAGCGGCGGACGGGUGAGUAACACGUGGGUAACCUGCCCAUAAGACUGGGAUAACUCCGGGAAACCGGGGCUAAUACCGGCUAAUAUUUUGAACUGCAUGGUUCAAAAUUGAAAGGCGGCUUCGGCUGUCACUUAUGGAUGGCACCGCGUCGCAUUAGCUAGUUGGUGAGGUAACGGCUCACCAAGGCAACGAUGCGUAGCCGACCUGAGAGGGUGAUCGGCCACACUGGGACUGAGACACGGCCCAGACUCCUACGGGAGGCAGCAGUAGGGAAUCUUCCGCAAUGGACGAAAGUCUGACGGAGCAACGCCGCGUGAGUGAUGAAGGCUUUCGGGUCGUAAAACUCUGUUGUUAGGGAAGAACAAGUGCUAGUUGAAUAAGCUGGCACCUUGACGGUACCUAACCAGAAAGCCACGGCUAACUACGUGCCAGCCGCCGCCGUAA
rnacentral:rRNA from 1 species